CGGACGGGUGAGUAACGCGUGGGUAACCUGCCUUGUACUGGGGGACAACAGUUGGAAACGACUGCUAAUACCGCAUAAGCGCACAGCUUCGCAUGAAGCAGUGUGAAAAACUCCGGUGGUACAAGAUGGACCCGCGUCUGAUUAGCUGGUUGGUGAGGUAACGGCCCACCAAGGCGACGAUCCAUAGCCGACCUGAGAGGGUGACCGGCCACAUUGGGACUGAGACACGGCCCAA
rnacentral:rRNA from 1 species